GAGGUAUUAGUAAAAAUUUACACGACUUUGUCAAAGUCGAGUUAUAGGUUAAAGCCCUUUAUACUUCC